UAGGGAAUUUUCCACAAUGGACGAAAGUCUGAUGGAGCAACGCCGCGUGCAGGAUGAAGGCUCUUGGGUCGUAAACUGCUUUUAUCUGUGACGAAUAUGACGGUAGCAGAUGAAUAAGGAUCGGCUAACUCCGUGCCAGCAGCCGCGGUCAUACGGAGGAUCCAAGCGUUAUCCGGAAUUACUGGGCGUAAAGAGUUGCGUAGGUGGCAUUGUAAGUUGGUAGUGAAAGCGUUCGGCUCAACCGGAUAAACAUUACCAAAACUGCAAAGCUAGAGGAUGAGAGAGGUUAUUGGAAUUCCCUGUGUAGGAGUGAAAUCCGUAGAUAUAGGGAGGAACACCGAUGGCGUAGGCAGAUAACUGGCUCAUUCCUGACACUAAGGCACGAAAGCGUGGGGAGCAAACGGGAUUAGAUACCCCUGUAGUCC
rnacentral:rRNA from 1 species